GCAGUCGAACGAGUUUUGGUCGAUGAACGGUGCUUGCACUGAGAUUCGACUUAAAACGAGUGGCGGACGGGUGAGUAACACGUGGGUAACCUGCCCUUAAGUGGGGGAUAACAUUUGGAAACAGAUGCUAAUACCGCAUAAAUCCAAGAACCGCAUGGUUCUUGGCUGAAAGAUGGCGCAAGCUAUCGCUUUUGGAUGGACCCGCGGCGUAUUAGCUAGUUGGUGAGGUAACGGCUCACCAAGGCGAUGAUACGUAGCCGAACUGAGAGGUUGAUCGGCCACAUUGGGACUGAGACACGGCCCAAACUCCUACGGGAGGCAGCAGUAGGGAAUCUUCCACAAUGGACGCAAGUCUGAUGGAGCAACGCCGCGUGAGUGAAGAAGGCUUUCGGGUCGUAAAACUCUGUUGUUGGAGAAGAAUGGUCGGCAGAGUAACUGUUGUCGGCGUGACGGUAUCCAACCAGAAAGCCACGGCUAACUACGUGCCAGCAGCCGCGGUAAUACGUAGGUGGCAAGCGUUAUCCGGAUUUAUUGGGCGUAAAGCGAGCGCAGGCGGUUUUUUAAGUCUGAUGUGAAAGCCCUCGGCUUAACCGAGGAAGCGCAUCGGAAACUGGGAAACUUGAGUGCAGAAGAGGACAGUGGAACUCCAUGUGUAGCGGUGAAAUGCGUAGAUAUAUGGAA
rnacentral:rRNA from 2 species